GACGAACGCUGGCGGCGUGCCUAAUACAUGCAAGUCGAGCGAAUGGAAGGGAGCUUGCUCCCUGAAGUUAGCGGCGGACGGGUGAGUAACACGUGGGCAACCUGCCUGUAAGACUGGGAUAACUUCGGGAAACCGGAGCUAAUACCGGAUACGUUCUUUCCUCGCAUGAGGAAAGAUGAAAAGAUGGUUUCGGCUAUCACUUACAGAUGGGCCCGCGGCGCAUUAGCUAGUUGGUGGGGUAACGGCCCACCAAGGCGACGAUGCGUAGCCGACCUGAGAGGGUACUCGGCCACACUGGGACUGAGACACGGCCCAGACUCCUACGGGAGGCAGCAGUAGGGAAUCUUCCGCAAUGGACGAAAGUCUGACGGAGCAACGCCGCGUGAGCGAAGAAGGCCUUCGGGUCGUAAAGCUCUGUUGUCAGGGAAGAACAAGUGCCAGAGUAACUGCUGGCACCUUGACGGUACCUGACCAGAAAGCCACGGCUAACUACGUGCCAGCCGCCGCGGUAA
rnacentral:rRNA from 1 species